rnacentral:rRNA from 1 species
UACGGGGGGGGCAAGCGUUGUUCGGAAUUACUGGGCGUAAAGGGCUCGUAGGUGGCCAACUAAGUCAGACGUGAAAUCCCCAGGCUCAACCUGGGAACUGCGUCUGAUACUGGAUGGCUUGAAUCCGGGAGAGGGAUGCAGAAUUCCAGGUGUAGCGGUGAAAUGCGUAGAUAUCAAGAGGAACACCUGCGGCGAAGGCGGGUUGCUGGGCCGACACUGACGCUGAGGCGCGAAAGCUAGGGGAGCGAACGGG